AAAGAGGGCGGUUGUUGCUCCAUGUGCUUAAGAGCAGCCCUGCCACAGACGUACUUUGGUAAUUGCUCCCGCUGCCCACACCAGACACAAACGGCUUCUGGGCCAAGUAGCUGAAUAAGACCCAGCGAUAUAUUUUGAGGGUUUUCCCUUUUCAAGGGAAAACUUUAGUCACUUGGAUAAAUUUUCCACACACUUUGCAAGUGUUUCAUUCAAUUGGAUGUCAAAAUUAUUCAGUGUCUCUUUGCCAGCCUUCUGCCUAGCGUGUGGAGACUUGUUUCUCCCAGCAGUACCAAGGGGAAGCAUCGGAGCUGCUAGGGUUUUGAAGGGUCUGCAGGAGGAUGCCCUUCCAGUCCCCUGUGAGAGGGCAAUGGAAGCAUUAAUAGUCACGCUGCUGAACUAGAGUAGUUAUGUAUUUGAUCCACUGGGCUCACACUGCGGGAAACAUCCUUGCCCUGAACGCUCUUGCUUCUGACCAGAAGUGGGAUGGAUGUCACAGUUCACCCCCUGUUGGAACUACCUGCGUGGCUCAGACUCAUAGGAGGAAAUGCUGGCUAUCCAGGGAUACUGUUCCUCUUGAGGCUGAAUAAGUGUGGGACGAAACUUUGUGAAGAUGUCCUCAAGCUGAUGUAUAAGGAACCAGAAUUUCAAUCAACAUCCAAGCUUCAUUUUUCUAUUCAGAAAACAAUGUAUUGAUUUCUCCUUGCUUCCUAGAAAAGCAUUUGAUCAGAAAUGCCAAGAUAGCAUCAAUAAAAAUUAUUCAAAGGUAUGAUAAUGCAAUAUUCAACGCCUCUUAACUGCCAAGUACAGACAGACUGGUUCAGGUGAGCCCAAGUCAUUACUUACAGUUCUGAAAUGAGGUAAACAACAUAAAAAAUCCCAGCACAUACACACACACAGAAACAUUCCUUAUGCCUCAAAUCAGGCUCUACAUGAGGCUUAGAUAUCAACAUGUCACUGGCCACUCUUGGUGAGGGCUGUUUUAAAAUGUAAUACAUUCCUCAUGAGAACAAUAAUUACCUUUACCUUCAUUUGUGAGCAAGGCUUUAAUACCUCACUUGAUCUUAUCUUACCAGAUGAGUGAUAGGCCUAUCAUGCUCAUGAAUGAAAGGCAAUAACUCACUCCUUACUACUAAGAUAUCUUAUGAGUCCUCAUCUUAUGAGAACCACACACUUCACUAAGCCAAGCAAUGAGCUAGGUAGUCUAGAAAACCUGCAGAAUCUUUGUGUAGCUUGUCUCUUCAUCAUCCUUUUCCAUUUAAUCAAUUCUGCCUGUUAAGUCUAGUACAGCAUGUUCAGCCUCAGCUGACUGAAGGGUUGCAGCCCACUCCCAGCAGGCAAAAUUUUAUGAACUGUUGAUUCAGGAGUUCAUUCCUGUAUUGUGGAACUCCUUGAAGCCCUGAAUUUAAAUUGGACAUCUGAAAAAGGGUGCACUGACUUGAAAAUCAGUUUGACUUUUCUAGAAAGAGCAGAUCAAAAGUUUCGGCAACAACUGGAUGGAAAAACUAAUUCAAGGAAGGCCUCAGGUUCUCCCUGUCGUCGUUAUAACGAUCCUGUUGUCGUUAUAAUUGUCUUAAGUUCAUAGCUAUAGAAUAUUACUCACUUAUCUUCCUGUGCAAAUCUCUUGCAGGAGCAGACUGGCUGCACGCAUUUAAUAUAGGCAUGUAUUAAAGCCUGUACAUUAGCAAAAGGUAUCAGUGGCUAACAGCUAGGAAUAAUAAAGGUUAUCUUUGAGGCCUGAACUGCCUAGGAAAUAGAGACAUGCAGGAUAGUUGACUCCAAUUUCUCAUCUUGUUUCUACCUGGUUACUGAGCCAGCUCUUCCCCUACCUGAGAAGGGUACAGGGCUGACAGAGGUCCCUGCAGGUGCUGUAGCAAAGCUGUGACAGCACAGCUUGCAGGUCUGAGGGCAGAGCCCUGGAGGUGGGUGGAUGUGCCAGAGCUGGGCACAAGCUCCCGUGGCCCCUCUGCAACACAGCACCACCCCCAGUCCGGGCAGCACAACGUACGGUGUGAGGGGCAACAGCCUCCCAUGCCAACAGUGACACAUUUGGGUUUGAAAGGGAGGAGGAAAGGACAAGGGCUGACAUUUCUCGCAUUUUGCCAACCUGGGUUUUACUCACACUUUUGCCAAUUCAUGCAUCAAUUGCUGCCUUAUGUUUUACAUACCAUGCAAUGUUGAAGAGCUCUGGAUGGUAAGGUAACUGGAUUCGCAUUUCUGUGAUUCGAUAUCCAGGUCUCCAAUUUUUAGGAUCAGGCGUUUUCCUGGAGGCACUUGGAUUUUCUUUUCACAUAAAGUGUAGUUUGGGUACGUCCCAGGAUAGUUCUUGGAUGCCAGGGUCCCACUGUCUUGAUACAUCACCGUGUGCCCACAUCCAUCCCCUGCAGCAGGAGAAGAAACAAGGACGAGAAAUGAAAUGUAUUCCUCAAUUAAAAAUGUGUAAGAAAAUAUUAGCCACAUAAUCAUGUCUCAUGUGUGCUUCUAUCUUUUAAAAAAGUAUUUUGUCAUACUCCACCUUGGUUAUGCUGUUGCUGGAACAUAGGUAACUAAUGUAAAUACAGUCAUAUUUCUCUUGUGAAGCAAUAUAAAGGAGGGUUGGAAACAGUAA